AUGACCUCAUGGUCACAAGGCAGCAGCUUUACCACUGCGCCAAGGCUCCCCUUCUACUACAAGAUCAAGUGUAAAGAACUGAAAUGGAAAUGGAUGGCCGAAGGAUUCCUUGAUAGACGAUGGGGGCGUUUGGAUGAUGUGGCAGAGAACUGUAUUAAUGAACUUGUUAAUAGAAAUAUGAUCCAGCCAAUUGAUAUUGACGAUGAUGGUACUGUGAAAUAUUGUCGAGUCCAUGAUAUGGUGCUUGACUUGAUCAUAUCUUUAUCAGAUGAAGAGAAUUUUGCCACUGUUUUAAAUGGACGUGUAUGCAAUUCAUUUCCAAACAAGAUUCGACGUCUGUCCGUGCAAGUUAGUGGCAAAGAGCAUAAUGGUGCAGUCUGUGCGAUUACAGAAACCAAGAUACAUGUUCGCUCACUGACUACGUUUUGGCAGGUUGAGCAGAUACCCCAUCUUGUGGACUUCCAUGCUUUGCGGGUGUUGGAUCUUGGAGUAUGUGAAUGGUUGGAAAACAAGCAUGUGAAACACAUAGGAAGUUUACGUCAGCUGAGGUAUUUGAGAAUUGGUCGUUCUAUGAUUACUGAGCUUCCUUGUGAAAUUGGAAAGCUGCAGCACUUGGAGACUCUGGAUUUGAGAUGCUGUUAUUCACUUCCAAGUCUGCCAUCAACCGUGGCGCAGUUGCGGAAAUUGGUGCACCUAUUUGUCAGCAAUUUCACACAAUUACAUGCGAGUGGGUUUCGGAGUCUGCAGGCCUUGGAGGAGUUAGGCUUCGAGGAAACCGACGACCCAGUGAGAUUUGCAGAUGAAGUAAAUGAGUUGGUCAAAUGCAACCUUCGUUAUCUUCGUGCUGGUGGAGACAUAGCUGAGCGUCUGUUCUGUAACCCAUGCUGCACAUACCCGUGCCUCCAAGUUCUUAAAAUUGAGUCAGGUAUUAGAAUGGUUCCCAGGGGAAUUACCUCCCUCCAGAAUCUCAUGAAACUACGCAUAACGGUCAUGGAAUUGAUAAGGAGGAUCUCCAAGUUGUCAUGA
rnacentral:rRNA from 1 species